rnacentral:rRNA from 1 species
CAGUCGCCGCGGUAACACGUAGGUGGCAAGCGUUGUCCGGAAUUAUUGGGCGUAAAGGGCUCGCAGGCGGUUUCUUAAGUCUGAUGUGAAAGCCCCCGGCUCAACCAGGGAGGGUCAUUGGAAACUGGGAAACUUGAGUGCAGAAGAGGAGAGUGGAAUUCCACGUGUAGCGGUGAAAUGCGUAGAGAUGAGGAGGAACACCAGUGGCGAAGGCGACUCUCUGGUCUGUAACUGACGCUGAGGAGCGAAAGCGUGGGGAGCGAACAGGAUUAGAUACCCCAGUAGUCCCUGUCUCUUAUAC